AGCUGGACACAUCCUUCUACACUGUAUGCAAACAUGCAACAUCAUUACACACAGUACAAGGAGUCAGACUGGCAUAUGAGGAGCAAAGGAACCCAGGCAGUAGCAUCGUUUCACAAUGUUUCCAUCAUCAUCAUCAGUGGAUGCCUUUGCCGUAUUUGUACCUUGCAGCCAUCCAUUACAAUGUCACCAAGCCGUAACAAAAGCAGGAGAGGGAAAGUACAAGGCUAUGUUCCCAAAACACACAAAUGACAUACCUUAUGUGGAGGAUGUGAUCAGGCUUGUGUUUGAUGAGGUAUUUGAAGAUAAGCUGAAGGAAACCCCGAUUCCAAUGGACCUGGCAUCACAGUUUGAGAGACCUUCAAAGGAGGACGUGAUUGCAUGCCAUCUUCAGUG